GAUGAACGCUGGCGGCGUGCCUAAUACAUGCAAGUCGAGCGAACGGACGAGAAGCUUGCUUCUCUGAUGUUAGCGGCGGACGGGUGAGUAACACGUGGAUAACCUACCUAUAAGACUGGGAUAACUUCGGGAAACCGGAGCUAAUACCGGAUGAUAUUUUGAACCGCAUGGUUCAAAAGUGAAAGACGGUCUUGCUGUCACUUAUAGAUGGAUCCGCGCUGCAUUAGCUAGUUGGUAAGGUAACGGCUUACCAAGGCAACGAUGCUUAGCCGACCUGAGAGGUGGAUCGGCCACACUGGAACUGAGACACGGUCCAGACUCCUACGGGAGGCAGCAUUAGGGAAUCUUCCGCAAAGGGCGAAAUCCUGACGGAGCAACGCCGCGUGAGUGAUGAAGGUCUUCGGAUCGUAAAACUCUGUUAUUAGGGAAGAACAUAUGUGUAAGUAACUGUGCACAUCUUGACGGUACCUAAUCAGAAAGCCACGGCUAACUACGUG
rnacentral:rRNA from 1 species